UGCCCAGCAACUCCUAUCCCUACCUCCUCGUGGUAUUGGCCGGGGCACGAGUAACCUUGGGGAAGAUCGGGUAACCAACCCCCGGUGGGAACUUUGGUCGUAUGCUGACAGGGAAGG
rfam:Aedes aegypti strain Liverpool supercont1.3 genomic scaffold, whole genome shotgun sequence.